rnacentral:misc_RNA from 1 species
GGAGUAGAAGGCAGGCGGGAGGGCGGGCAGGGUGCAAGGAUGCUUGGCCCACCCUGAGAGGCGUAAUUCGCCCAUCAACAUUGCUGUCAGGCAUCUUUUUAGCACUAGACGUGACCCCGGGGGUGGGGGCAGAUGAACGGAACGCAACCCAGCUCAAAGGAUGGGAAGUUGUGGGGGAGGCUACGACUGGCAAAGAUGAGGGAGGCUGAAGCGGCCCAGGGGCAGGCAGGAGAUGAGACGUAUCUUGACAUCUUCCGCGACUUCUCCCUCAUGGCGUCAGACGACCCGGAGAAGCUGAGCCGUCGCAGUCAUGACCUCCACACGCUGUGACCCGAGGCCCACGGGGCCCGCGCCUGCCUCCCUUCCCCGCCACCGGGCCCUCUGCCAUUAAAGCCUCCGUGCUUCGCUCUUC